rnacentral:rRNA from 1 species
CCCUUAGAUGUUCUGGGCUGCACGCGCGCUACACUGAAGCUAUCAACACGUUUUCCCUCCCUGAGAAGGGCGGGUAACCUUUUGAAUCAGCUUCGUGGUAGGGAUCGGGGCUUGCAAUUGUUCCCCGUGAACCAGGAAUUCCAAGUAGACGCGAGUCAUAAGCUCGCAUCGAUUAAGUCCCUGCCCUUUGUACACACCGCCCGUCGCUACUACCGAUUGAACGUUUUAGUGAGGCAUUUGGACCGACGCAUCUCAGUUUAACCGCUGGUUUGUGUUGGAAAGACUUCCAAACUUGAGCGUUUAGAGGAAGUAAAAGUCGUAACA